rnacentral:lncRNA from 1 species
UUUCUAUGUAUCAUUAUGUUUUACUUAAUUUUGUUCUGGUGUUAUGCUUUUUGGACCCCAAUAGUCUGUUGAAAGAAAAACCUAAAAAGUUAGUAUCCUUGUUUUCUCCCCCCUGCAGUAUGUGGUUCUAAAGGUCACCCCCCCCCCCCAUUAGGAAUCUCCCCCAAGCACACCCGAGGAAAAGGGUACGACGGGCGCUUCUCAGCGGGCCGUGCCAUUGAGAUCUUUUAUAUUCAUGCUGCUUCUAGUCCCUUCUCCACAUCACCUAAGGGUGGGUACCUCCAUUGCGAUGUUGUGGCAUCUUAACUUUUACACACAGACCUCAUGGGUGUCCACUGAGGAAGUAGUAUGAGCCUAAAGACACUGGCAGCGUGCAGCCUGGCCUGGGAGUGGCGGCCUUCGCAUCUCUCUCUCUCUCAGCACUCAGCCACGCUGACCUGGCCGGGUGGUCCGCGUGGACAGGACAGCUGGUGAAGCAAGCCGGAUGCUCAGAACACUGCGCGUCUCCUGUCCUGUUUUAAGCUUAGCUGGGUCCUUUGUUUUCACAGCUUCCUAGGUUAAAUAGUUUGCACUAUUUUUGCAAUAAAUUCAUGGGAAACCUAAUGGCUACUUAUGUUGUUGUUCUUACUGUGUGUAUAAACUAACACUAAAGGUUUGCUAUAGUGUUUUCUUUUCACCUCCUUAUGUAGCCCCAUAACAUGCACAGAAUGCUGUAAACCUGAUUAAGAUAUGAUGUGGAUAUUUUAUAAAGUUAUUUUGUAUGGUGUCGAUUUUGUUUUGCCGCAUAGUGUGUCAGCAAAAAAUAAAAUAAAAUAAAAUUCCUCGUAUUUACAGCUGCCUA